AGAGUUUGAUCCUGGCUCAGGAUGAACGCUAGCUACAGGCUUAACACAUGCAAGUCGAGGGGCAGCAUGGUCUUAGCUUGCUAAGGCCGAUGGCGACCGGCGCACGGGUGAGUAACACGUAUCCAACCUGCCGUCUACUCUUGGACAGCCUUCUGAAAGGAAGAUUAAUACAAGAUGGCAUCAUGAGUCCGCAUGUUCACAUGAUUAAAGGUAUUCCGGUAGACGAUGGGGAUGCGUUCCAUUAGAUAGUAGGCGGGGUAACGGCCCACCUAGUCUUCGAUGGAUAGGGGUUCUGAGAGGAAGGUCCCCCACAUUGGAACUGAGACACGGUCCAAACUCCUACGGGAGGCAGCAGUGAGGAAUAUUGGUCAAUGGACGAGAGUCUGAACCAGCCAAGUAGCGUGAAGGAUGACUGCCCUAUGGGUUGUAAACUUCUUUUAUAAAGGAAUAAAGUCGGGUAUGCAUACCCGUUUGCAUGUACUUUAUGAAUAAGGAUCGGCUAACUCCGUGCCAGCAGCCGCGGUAAUACGGAGGAUCCGAGCGUUAUCCGGAUUUAUUGGGUUUAAAGGGAGCGUAGAUGGAUGUUUAAGUCAGUUGUGAAAGUUUGCGGCUCAACCGUAAAAUUGCAGUUGAUACUGGAUAUCUUGAGUGCAGUUGAGGCAGGCGGAAUUCGUGGUGUAGCGGUGAAAUGCUUAGAUAUCACGAAGAACUCCGAUUGCGAAGGCAGCCUGCUAAGCUGCAACUGACAUUGAGGCUCGAAAGUGUGGGUAUCAAACAGGAUUAGAUACCCUGGUAGUCCACACGGUAAACGAUGAAUACUCGCUGUUUGCGAUAUACAGCAAGCGGCCAAGCGAAAGCGUUAAGUAUUCCACCUGGGGAGUACGCCGGCAACGGUGAAACUCAAAGGAAUUGACGGGGGCCCGCACAAGCGGAGGAACAUGUGGUUUAAUUCGAUGAUACGCGAGGAACCUUACCCGGGCUUAAAUUGCAGAUGAAUUACGGUGAAAGCCGUAAGCCGCAAGGCAUCUGUGAAGGUGCUGCAUGGUUGUCGUCAGCUCGUGCCGUGAGGUGUCGGCUUAAGUGCCAUAACGAGCGCAACCCUUGUUGUCAGU
rnacentral:rRNA from 1 species